GACGAACGCUGGCGGCGUGCCUAAUACAUGCAAGUCGAACGCUUCUUUCCUCCCGAGUGCUUGCACUCAAUUGGAAAGAGGAGUGGCGGACGGGUGAGUAACACGUGGGUAACCUACCCAUCAGAGGGGGAUAACACUUGGAAACAGGUGCUAAUACCGCAUAACAGUUUAUGCCGCAUGGCAUAAGAGUGAAAGGCGCUUUCGGGUGUCGCUGAUGGAUGGACCCGCGGUGCAUUAGCUAGUUGGUGAGGUAACGGCUCACCAAGGGCACGAUGCAUAGCCGACCUGAGAGGGGGAUAGGCCACAUUGGGACGGGGACACGGCCCAGACUCCUACGGGAGGCAGCAGUAGGGAAUCUGAGGCAAUGGACGAAAGUCUGACCGAGCAACGCCGCGUGAGUGAAGAAGGUUUUCGGAUCGUAAAACUCUGUUGUUAGAGAAGAACAAGGACGUUAGUAACUGAACGUCGCCUGACGGUAUCUAACCAGAAAGCCACGGCUAACUACGUG
rnacentral:rRNA from 1 species